ACGACCUUACUUGAACAGGAUCGUUCUAUAGGAUCGUACUUGUGUAUCCUUGAGUUCUAAGGAGACAGGAUUCAAUGGUUGAUGAACCCAGACUGUGUGAUCAGAGCUUGAUUAUUGGUCUGCAGUCUAUUACAUAGGGACUUCAUUGGCCGCAGAGGAUCGUUCUCGGCAUGCCCUUGUCUUGCUGGGAUGGUCGCGCAGUUGUCUGACCAUUC